AGCCGACGAUCAGUAACUGGUCUGAGAGGACGAACAGUCMCACUGGAACUGAGACACGGUCCAGACUCCUACGGGAGGCAGCAGUGAGGAAUAUUGCACAAUGGGAGGAAUCCUGAUGCAGCGACGCCGCGUGCGGGAUGAAGGGGCUUAGCCUCGUAAACCGCUGUCGGAGGGGACGAAUGGUACAUUUGAUGUACUGAGACGGUACCCUCAAAGGAAGGAUCGGCUAACUACGUGCCAGCAGCCGCGGUAAUACGUAGGAUCCGAGCGUUGUCCGGAAUUACUGGGUGUAAAGGGUGCGUAGGCGGACUUGUGCGUCAGAGGUGAAAUCCACGGGCUUAACCCGUGGGGUGCCUUUGAUACGGCAAGUCUUGAGUGCGAGAGAGGUGGGUGGAAUUCCUGGUGUAGCAGUGAAAUGCGUAGAUAUCAGGAGGAACACCGAUGGCGAAGGCAGCCCACCGGCUCGCAACUGACGCUGAGGCACGAAAGCGUGGGGAUCAAACAGGAUUAGAUACCCUGGUAGUCCACGCCUUAAACGAUGUAUGCUUGGUGUUGGGUCGCAAGACUCAGUGCCGGAGGAAAY
rnacentral:rRNA from 1 species